rnacentral:rRNA from 1 species
GACGAACGCUGGCGGCGUGCUUAACACAUGCAAGUCGAACGGAAAGGCCCUGCUUUUGGGGGGUGCUCGAGUGGCGAAGGGGUGAGUAACACGGGAGUAACCUGCCCUUGACUUUGGGAUAACUUCAGGAAACUGGGGCUAAUACCGGAUAGGAGCUCCUGCGGCAGGGUGUGGGUUGGAAAGUUUCGGCGGUUGGGGAUGGACUCGCGGCUUAUCAGCUUGUGGGUGGGGUAGUGGCUUACCAAGGCUUUGACGGGUAGCCGGCCUGAGAGGGUGACCGGCCACAUUGGGACUGAGAUACGGCCCAGACUCCUACGGGAGGAAGCAGUGGGGAAUAUUGCACAAUGGGCCGAAGCCUGAUGCAGCAACGCCGCGUGCGGGAUGACGGCCUUCGGGUUGUAACCCGCUUUCGCCUGUGACGAAGCGUGAGUGACGGUAAUGGGUAAAGAAGCACCGGCUAACUACGUG